UACAGAGGGUGCGAGCGUUAAUCGGAAUUACUGGGCGUAAAGCGUGCGUAGACGGUUAUUUAAGUCGGGUGUGAAAGCCCCGGGCUCAACCUGGGAAUUGCAUUCGAGACUGAAUAGCUAGGGUACGGUAGAGGGAAGUGGAAUUUCCGGUGUAGCGGUGAAAUGCGUAGAUAUCGGAAGGAACACCCGUAGCGAAGGCGGCACUCUGGGCCGGUACUGACGCUGAGGAGCGAAAGCGUGGGGAGCGAACAGG
rnacentral:rRNA from 1 species